ACGAACGCUGGCGGCGUGCUUAACACAUGCACGUCGAACGGAAAGGCCUCUUUCGGGGGGUACUCGAGUGGCGAACGGGUGAGUAACACGUGAGUAACCUGCCCUUGACUUUGGGAUAACUUCAGGAAACUGGGGCUAAUACCGGAUAGGAGCUCCUGCUGCAUGGUGGGGGUUGGAAAGUUUCGGCGGUUGGGGAUGGACUCGCGGCUUAUCAGCUUGUUGGUGGGGUAGUGGCUUACCAAGGCUUUGACGGGUAGCCGGCCUGAGAGGGUGACCGGCCACAUUGGGACUGAGAUACGGCCCAGACUCCUACGGGAGGCAGCAGUGGGGAAUAUUGCACAAUGGGUGGAAGCCUGAUGCAGCAACGCCGUGUGCGGGAUGACGGCCUUCGGGUUGGAAACCGCUUUCGCUCAUGACGAAGCUUUGUGUGACGGUAGUGGGUAAAGAAGCACCGGCUAACUACGUG
rnacentral:rRNA from 1 species